UGUGUCACUCUGGACCCUAUCUCUGCCCUCCAGUGUGUCUACCUCUCCCCCUAGCUUAGUGGGAUUGGAGAUUCCCAUCUCAAUCCAAUGUUUAGGUAAGAAAUGCAAUUUUCUUUGGAACAUAUGUUGUGCUGUACUGCUAGGAACUUUACAAGUACAAUAAACGAUUAAGAUAGGAAUUAGAAUUGAAUAGAAAGAUGCUUCAAAUACCUUUUUUCACAUGCCUCUUUUCACAUAAUGCUUCCAAACCAGAGCACAUGGAUUCAAGAUUCAUCACUAACUGCUGGAUACUUUCUCAUUUAAGGCACACUAACCACUCCCAGAAUUGUAGUUAAGCUAAAGCCUCAACUUUUUAAAAACUUUGGAAGAAGAAUGGAUUUGGAAAUUCCAAAAUGUUUAGCAAAAAGAGAACGGGGAGGUUGAGAGUGGUGGGCAAGAGUGUGACUGGGAAUAAGGUCGCUUUUUCUACAUUGUUUUCAGGUUCUAAUAUUAUAAGCUAUAGACUGACAUAGAGCUCACCUUGACAGUUCUGCAAGACCACAUGCCUCCCCUAAUCUGUGGGACCUUCAUUUAAAGAAAUUCUAUUCCUUGCCUUUUUGCUUUCAAGAAAGCUUUGACAAUAUUAACUGAUAUGAACCAGCCACUAGUGUUCAAAGCCCACCACUUCUAAGGAAAAUAUCAGAUAUUCCAAAAUCAACCAGCACUAGCCUUUUGGUCCUGUGUAUAAACAUGCAAUAGCCAUAGGUGGUCUGAGUUUUUGCAAAUUUGCAGAUUAGAUCAGUAAGGUACAAUUUUGAUCAAACUACUUUAAUGAUAAGUCACAAGUUCUCUACCAGCUGCUGUCCCAGGCUGAGCCAUUUCCUUUGCGGCAUGCUGUAGGUGAAAUCGAGUAAUCCCUACUCUGUGUUUCCCUCAAAGCACAGACCAACAUUUUCAAACCUGCAUGCCAUUGAAUUCAGUGGUAGCUGUGAAUGCUUAAUACCUCUGAAAUCAUGGCAUGUACUUAGGGGUUUGAUUAUACAUUGGGUGACUAAACAUACUUGAGUUUGAAAAUGUUGGCCUUAGCCUCUCUGUCCUCACUUAGUUCCCACAUCAGUGAAUUGGAAAUCAUAGCUGUGUCACUGAAGAGGUGGGGUCUGUGAUAAUUUAGUAAUUGUUUGUUUGUGCUAUCCAAGUCCUAAAACUCUUAGAAUGCACACACCUAUUGCAUUAUAUGUAAAUUCUAUAAUAAUACUUCCACUUUAGAUAUAUAUUUAAGCCAGGAUUUUCAAAACUGUGAGCCUAAAAUUAGGCUCCUAAGUCUAUAUAUAGGUACCAAAGUAAGUGAUCUAAUAGGACUUCCUAUGUCUUCAGCACUUUUGAUUUUUCACUUAUGUAGGUACGUACAAAAAUCAGAGGCUAAUUUUAGGGGAUCUAUUUUUUUUAAAAAAUCUUGGUUUUUAUGAUUUUCAUCUUAUAGUUGUUUCUGCUCCCUUCCCCCAUUCUAAUGAUUCUAUAUUUUUUCCAGUUUUCAUAGGUCUACAACUUAAUUUUGUGUAUGUGUGUGGUCUCUUUAGCACUGUACCAAUUGCUUCCCUUCUUUGUGCUUUUGUUUAGGUACUUUGAGAGGGUGUGUGUGUGUUAAACAGCUCAUGCAACUUGUUCAUGAUCAUGAAAUAAUUCAACAAACUAUUUCCAACUGACCAACCUAGAGAGAGGUCUGAACAAGGCUUCUGAAUGUUGCUGUCUGUUUUUGUGUUCUGUAUAAUAAAUGCAGAAUCAGGAGCUGCAUAAAUGUGUCUCAGGUUAUUCUAAGCUGAUAUACCAGAUUCUUACAGGCAUGGCCACUGCUGUAAUUGGAGAAGCAAACAAAGUUUUUGAAGCACUUUCUGUGAUAUGCACAUCAUGUUGCUGUGCUUCAGAAACCGUCUAUGAAUGCAGUAUCAAAUAUUGAGAGUCAGGGCUAUAUGAGACUGUUAUCCCCAGUUUCUCCAUUUCUUCAAUGGUGCAGGGAGCUGUGCUUCAUGUUGGGAGAGCAUUUUCUUGUUUGCUUUUUCCACCAAGAGAUUACUUACUAGUAGUAUUUUGAGAGUGUUACUUCUCUUUUCCAGGAACCCUUUCUAAAGGGUUGUCAUAAAAUAUUGUAUAUUUUCAUGCCCUCAGCUCACCAACCUGAUAUUUUGGAUUGGAAGCAAUCACUACGAAUCCCAUGUCACCCUUUGCAUCUCCACCGUCCCUGUAUGCUGCUAAGGAUACUUGUAAUCAGAAAGCUAGAAGGCUACCUCAUGUGUCAAGGAAUGUAUGUGUGUCAAUACACGAGUUCAGGCUAGCAGAUUUUGUGUGAUCCAGUCCUGCAGUAGCUAUGAGCUCCCCCAUGUUGUCUUGAUGAGGCUUGGGUAGAAGAUUGGAAGGUGAAUCAAUUGAUUAAUUUGAAAUGGGGAGGUUACCUUAGGGAUGAAUUUUAGAUGGGGCCAGAAAAAAUAGCGUGUGUGGGGUGUGUGUCAUCAGACCAUCUAUCUUAUUCUCCAGGCCAAGGUAAUUGCUAUCAGGAAGGCUGUUUUCACUGAUAGAUACAACAGCAAACAAGUGACCAUGGCUUAGGAGGCAGGAUUAGGUCUCAUGUAGGAAUAGACAGUCAAAGUUGAGAGAAGAGGUUAACUAUAUCCUUGAGGAAUCUCAUAGUGGUUGAGUGUGACAGCACAGAAUAGCCUUCUACAGGUUGAUAUAAAGCUGUUACUGCUGCUUUCUGGACCUGGAGAGAUUAGGGUCAAUACAUAGUCCAUGACAUGCAGAAAAGUCACAGAUAUUGCAGAGAUUUAUUGGGGUAUACAUCAGAUCUGAAACCUGGACUGUUUCUGUUUUAAGUAUGUCCUGUCAAGGACUUUCUACCAUGUAAUAGAACCUCUUCUAUCUCUCUUGAGCAGAGGUUUUCUAAAGAAAACCAGGAAUUAUAACUUGAGGCAGAGAAUCAAGCUGGGAUGUAGGAGACGAUAUCUGUUCCUUGAGAGGUGUGGAAUGAAGGUGUGGUUGGGUGAAGGAUUAAGGGGUAUGUUGCAAGCCGUAGCAGGUAAGGGUAUUAAGUUUGUCUUGGCCAAGUAAGAGUAAUCAGAAUGAUGUGAGCUCUGUUCCUUUUUACUUUCAGCAGGCCCUUCAGUAGUAAAGUAAAUGAGGGAAAGGCCAAGAGAAGGAUCUUGUCUCAGGAGAGGAGAAAACUUUACCCAGGGAGAGCUAUCCCAUCCCCACUCUGGUAGUGAGGACAUUUCUUGUUCAGGUGAGUGGCAAGAAUGAUGGGGGGUGGGGGGGAGCAUACUAUCCACGGACCUGAACAGGUUGUGAAAUACUCGUGAUCUUGUGGGAAUUUGUGACUGAAACUGUCUGCUAUUGAGUUUUGUGCACAGGGAGGUAAGUCAUAGACAAUAUAACAUUGUGGGAGUUGAACCAAUUAGCCUCAUUGCUUUUGCACGUGGAGAAGGUGACCUGGCUUCUCCUUGCUGACUGAUAUAGUACAUACAGGCUACAUUGUCUGUUAGGGUCUGCGUGUGUGAUCCUGUGCCCAGAGGGAGAAAAUGGGUGCAGGUGUUCCUGCCUGCUCUGAGCUGGAGGAGAUUAAUGUGAAGUGGUAUCUCCAUGGGUGGUGAUAUGAGACCAUUUAGAUGCACACCCCACCCUUUGAGUGAAGUGUCAGUGGCGAGGAGCAACAACAGGACCGUUUGUGAAAAAGAGGUCCCCUUGCAAAUGGUGCCUGUCUGGUGGAUGGUGACAGGAAUCUGUCCAGCCUGGCCUUGUUUGCUCUUUAAAGCCAGCUGACCCACAUUUGGAGACAUUGCAUGUGAAGCCUGGCAUGUGGUCUUCCACCAUGCCUGCUCCCAUAUGCCCUGCAGAUUGGAGGCAGAGCCUGGCUGAUAUCUGUGGGCUGCUUUGAAGAGUGCCUGUGUGUGCCUAUGUACAGGAACCUGUGUUGAGGCAAGAGGACUUUGGCCUGUAACGAGUCAAAGUUGGCCCCUAUGAAUUCCAGAAAUGGCACUGAAUGUAGCUUGACUUUUGGGUAUUGAUCUCUAGGUCCAGAUCUGUAAGCACGUGCAUUGUCGCUUCAGUGACUUGGUGAGUCUUUUGAAGACAUCUGGCUCUGAGGAGACUACCAUGCGGGGAAGGGUAGAUCAUUAUCCCUUGGGAACGCGAAUGAGUGGCCAGCACUGAGAGAACUUUGUAAAAUGCUCUCAUGGAUGGCGAUAGCCUGAAGGGGAGCUCUCUGCAGUGGUAGUGGCUGUACCCUAGAAUGAAUCUGAGAAAUCUGUUUGUGGUGGGGUUGAGAUGAAAAUAGGCAUUCUGCAGGUCAAGGGCUACCAAACUGUCUGGUCCAAAGUGGAAUGAUAAGGUGACUGAUUUGAAUUUUUGAGUUUUGAUAAACUUUUUGGGAGCUCUGAGUCCUAGUAUGUCUCCAACCUCCUUUCCUUUUGUGCAGGGGUGGCAAAUCUCAGGACCAGCAGCUGGGUGCAGCCCCCAGCUUGCCUGGAUCCAGCCCUUGUGACUCAGGGAGCCGGUGCCUACUGCGGGACUGGAGCACACAGAACUGCUAGCCUGCAGGGUUCUCUCUAAACUGUGCACUUGCGCAGGUGUGCGGAAAAGAUUUCCACCCUGACCACCUCCUAUGCAGAGCCGUGGGCCAGGGCUGGAGGCUGGAGGAACUGUGAGGUGGGUAGCAGGAGGCUGCUUUGGUGGCUGGAGUCAGAAGAGCCAUGAGCUGGGCGGCAGGAGGCUGCUGUGGCGGCCCGGUCCAGAGAAGCCACGUGGCGGGUGGCAGGAUGCUGCUCUGGCAACUGGGGCUGGAGCUGCCACAUGCCUCCCCUAAUCUGUGGGACCUUCAUUUAAGGGCAGGGACUGGGGUCAGUAGAUUGCAAGGCUGGACACAACUAUAGGGUGUGUGGGGGUGUAGCAGUUAGACAGUACCAGCUGUCUGUGUGUGGUCCUGACGGGAGCAUAGGCAUGGGGCAUGCACAGAGUGUGUUGGGACAUGGGCCAGCAAGCUGGGUGAUUUUUUCAGGUUGGGGAUGGGCACCAUGUUAAUUAUCCAUUAUUUAAAAUUAAAUGUAUAUAUAAUUUUGUUAGUGGUUACUGGUAACUAGUGGUUGCUUCUCACUCGUGUGCAGCCCCAGAUAGAUUUUUCUUUCAAAAAAGGUUUCCCACACCUGCUUUUGGGUAUUACAAAAUAACAAGAGUAGGAUCCCUUCCUUCAUAAAUGCUAGUGUUGAUUCUAUGACUCCCUCACUGUAAGGGGCCAUCCAUCUGUUGUAUCUCUUGUCAUAGUAAACCCUUGUGCAAAAGGGCCCCCAUCUGCAAAGUUCUCCUUAAGGCACAGCAAUACAGAACUUCUCUGAUCCUGGUGGGGCCAGUCUGGCCCUGCCAGUAUUGGUUCACGAAGCUGCUGGAUGUCUUAGUGGAGGAGCAUACAACUCUUCACAUGUUCCCAGACCUAAUUACCCAGGACCAUGAACAGUUAUGUCACCCCAACCUGCAAUCCUUCCACCUAAUGGCCUUGGGGAAGCUCCAUGGUUGACACGGGGGAAGCAACAAGAUUUGGAAUAAGUGAAGGUGGUGCUCUUGGAUGGUAGGAAACCUUCCACUAGAGCCAUUUACCUGGUUUAGUGUACACAUUUUUCAGUUUGGUCCUUCUCUAAGGGCAUAGCCAUGCUGGAGGCCGUGGUCCCAUUCAUACUGGAGUACUUGUUAGAUCUAAGAACACAGGGAUUAUCUGUACCCUCAGUCUGGAUCCAUCUAGCGGCUGUCUACUUUUCACCCUGGUAUCCAAGGCAAGACAGUUUUUGCAAACCCGAUGGUACAUAGUUUCCUGAAGAGCCUAGAUAGGUUUCACCCACAGGUGUGUCAGCCUCUUCCACCCUGAGACUCUAACCUGGUCCUCACAAGACUCAUGGGGCCACCUUUUAAGCCUUUAAUGACUUGCUCUUUGUUGCCGUUGUCACAGAAAAUAACAUUCUUGGUGGCUAUUACGUUAGCUAGACGGGUGUCAGAAAUCAAUCUCAGAGCCCUCUUCCUCUUUAAAGAGAAGUUCAAACUAUGCCUACAUACAGCAUUUUUUACCUAAGGUGGUGUCCCAAUUUCAUAUAAAUCAAGCUAUCUUCCUCCCUGUUUUAUUUCCUAAACCACAUCCUAAUAAUAAAGAAUGAGUGCUCCACACCCUGGAUGCGUGACAUGCUUUGGAGUUUCAUUUAGAGAGAACACAAUCAUCUCCAUAGCAGAUAGGAUUACGGGUCUGCCAAUCUCCACCUGGCAGAUAUUUGUGGAUCACAGCCUGCAUCAGGACCUGUUAUGACCUCACUAAAGUGCCAGUGCCAGCUAUCAUGGCCCACUCCAGUAGAGCCCAGGCCUCUUCGGCAGCCUUUGUGGCACAGGUACCCAUCAUGGAUAUAUGCAGGACAGCAACUUGGUCUUUACCAACCACUCUCCCAUCUCCCAGCAUGCUAGGGAUGAUGCAGCAUUCAGGAGACCUGAGUUGCAGUAUAUUUCCAAUUAGUCUCUGAUCCCAUCUCUUUUAGUACAGCUUGGGAUUCACCUAAAUGGAAUGGACAUGAACAAUCACUCAAAGAAGAAAAAAUGGUUACCUGCCUUUCAUAACUGUUCUCUGAGAUGCGUUGACAGUGUGCUUUCCAAAUCCUGCCCAUUUCCCCUUCACUGUAGAGUUCUGGCAAGAAGGAACUGAGGGGAUGGAGUGCAGCAAGGAUAUAUAUGCACCGCCAUGGAGGUGCUACUCUAGGGGACCCAGUAGGUGUUGCUGAGGGAAAAAAACUCCCAACAAUCGUGCACUCAGUGCGAUGGACAUGAGCAACAAUCUCAAAGAACAACAGUAAUGAAAGUUAGGUAACUUUUCUGUUUCUCAGCAAACUAAAGUAACAAAAGAAGGACAAAGGCUGGAUUGGAGUGAAUUUGUUCUGAGUUUUUGUGGGUGGGGACCUGGCCCAAGCAUGACAUCUUAAAGACAUAGUAUAUAGGAAAAGGCAGAGAAAGCAUAGAAAAGAAGUGUGGAGUGGACUGGAAAGCAAAAGGGAAAAUAUUAUUCAGCAUGCACACAGUUUCGUACAUAACUCCCUUGCUCUUGCCACAGAAAAACUGUCAUGGCUUCUGGGCAUAAGAGAGACCGUAUCCAGGAAUAUUUUGAAGAAGGAAAUUCAUUUGCUGUGCAAAAAAGGAAAACCAUGUCAAGUACAAGCAGUGCAAAAAGAUGCAGUACUUACUUACAGGAAUGGAACAUUACGAGAACUAAUUAUAGAAGCUGUGGGACACUGGAUAUUUGGUAUUCUGAGGAUUUAUCUGUUAGAGUUAAUAAAAUUUUGAAAAUUAAAAAAGUGUAAGGACAGUGUAAUGGAUGGAAGUAGUGAUGACCAGCACCCAGUGAUGAAGCUCAGGUAGCUAGCAGAGUUGUUGGCUAGGGAGCCCGGAGAACCAAACAAGGUAAGAGUUGAUUUAGAUAUAGGUUCUCUACCUGCUUUCUUUGUGUGGGAGAGAGAAACCAGGAGUUGAGAAAGAGAGCAUGAUUUAAACCCUGGCAGGACUAUUAUGUCUCCAAGGAAUUCAUGGUCUGCGAGUGGACUCAACAAAGAGAGUAUUGGAAGUAAGGAGAAGUGAAUCUAGUCACGUUCAGUGUAUACUUACCCAAUGACCAGAGGAUAGCUUGGAGUCCUUCACAGUGGAAGGGAGGCUUCAGGUCAUCACAACAGAGAACUUUAUGACCUUGAGAGAGAGUCCUCAACUGUGUGGUGAAUUGUACCUUUCUGGAAACCUAACAAGUGGAGUCAUGACACUUGUCACAUCACCACAGCCAUGGAGAUGGACCUAGCUGCCAUGUUGAGAUGAUUUAUUAAAAGGAUCUGCAGGGAAGACUUACCUCUGUGACGGGGAUCAAGAGAGUUGCCUCCAUGAAGAUGAUCUUUUGGUGAGUGUGAUCAGAAGUCACCAAGGUGGCGUUUUGAAAGGUAUCUUGCUAUAUACGAUGAUAACCAUUCCACUACAUGUGUGCAAUGCUGGCUCUGUACAGAUAGCACAGCAAACUCCAGAAGAACCACAACAUCAGAUAAGGGUGGUCUUCUGAAGACCACAACAUCAGAUAAGGGUCAAAGGCCAGGUUUACUAUAAAUGAAGCACAGUAAUAGACCUGGUAGACUCUACGAGGAUACUAAGUGAGUGAAACAAUGGAAAUAGCUCCUUCGGUGGUGGGACUUUACUCUGCCCCCUAAGCUGGAUAAAGACAAGACAGCCCCCUUAAGAUAUAUUGAUGGUAAAGGAACAAACCAUCCCAAUGUGCAAAGAAUAAAGAAUAGCAAAUUUUCUAGGCAACAACCUUGACUUAACAAAGAAAACUUCUGAGAGAUUAUACAAAAAGAAAUCUUACAAGAAAUGUUAAGUUGGACAGAUGACUAGGAGGAAUGUAGAAAAUAUUGCUCAAGCAUGCAAUGGGUGUAAUCAUGAAAGCCAAAACACAACUGGAGUUGCAGCUAGCAAGGCAUGUGAAAGAUAACAAGAAGUAUAUGUUAGCAACAAGGUUAGGGAAGUUGUAGGACCCUUACAGAAUGGAGAAGGCAACCUAGUGACAGAUCGAAUGGAAAAAACUGAAAUAUUCAAUGCUUUUUUUCUCCCUGCCUCCUUGGUCUUCACAGACUAGCUCAGACUGCUGUACUGGGCAGCAUGGUAUGGGGAGAAGGUGAGUAGCCCUCAGUAGUGAAACGAGUUAAAGGUUAUUUAGAAAACUUGAACACACGUGUCCAUGGGGCUGAUUCUGAGAAAUCGUGGUGAUUGGGGCAGGUCCUAAAGAAUUGUAAAAAGGUAGAUGUACUGCCUGCUCUUUAGAAAAGAGGAGGAGGAGAAUCCAAGUAACUACAGACUAGUCAUCCUCACUUCAGUCGCUAAAAAAAUGGAGUAAGUCCUCAAGGAAUCCAUUUUACAUCAUUUGGAGCACAGUAAAAUCCACAUGGAUUCACCAAGGGCAAGUCUGGCUCUGUGAAUAUGGGGAAAAGCAGUGGACGUGAUAUACCUUGACUUUAACAAAGGUUUUCAUAGGGUCUGCCAUGGUGUUCUUGCCAGCAAGUUAAACAGAAUUACUGUUUAAAAAAUUGUUUUUAAAAUUGAUUAGUUCUAGAAUAUAGUAGAGCUCUGAAAGAGAAAGACAGUACACUGGAGAGUGGUAACUGUGUAUAAAUUUUCUGAAUUAAUACCGAAAAUAUUUUAAAGUUUGCUGAUGCUAAAAAUGAAAACUAGCUGCAGUUGUUGCACUUUCCCAAUGUGUAAAUUAGCUUCUGCUGCAUCUAACAAAGAGAUACUCAUGCUUUUUACACUCUAAAAAAGGAAGUUACUCACCCAGUCAUCCCCGGAGCUGUAGGAUUGGAGACUUUUUCAAAGCAGUCAGGCUGUGCAUGCACCAGCAAGCUUCUUGCACUGCUGGCAGUUAGACAGCUGAGCGCGGCCUGACCCUCUCCCCUCAGUUUCUCAUCUACUGCAGAGCAAGUGAACUCUGAGUAGUGGGGAAGAAGGGAGAG